rnacentral:rRNA from 1 species
GACAGAGGGUGCAAACGUUGCUCGGAAUUACUGGGCGUAAAGCGCGUGUAGGCGGGCCGAUAAGUCAGAUGUGAAAUCCCUGAGCUCAACUCAGGAACUGCAUUUGAAACUGCCGGUCUAGAGUGGUGGAGAGGGAAGCGGAAUUCCUGGUGUAGAGGUGAAAUUCGUAGAUAUCUGGAGGAAUACCGGUGGCGAAGGCGGCAUCCUGGACCGGCAUUGACGCUGAGGAGCGAAAGCCAGGGGAGCAAACGGG